GCAGGCUGCAACUCGCCUGCAUGAAGUCGGAAUUGCUAGUAAUCGUAGGUCAGCAUACUACGGUGAAUACGUUCCCGGGCCUUGUACACACCGCCCGUCAAACCAUGAGAGUUGGCAACACCCGAAGUCGGUAGUCUAACCGCAAGGAGGACGCCGCCGAAGGUGGGGUUGAUGAUUAGGGUUAAGUCGUAACAAGGUAAC
rnacentral:rRNA from 1 species